rnacentral:lncRNA from 1 species
CAGAAUUCAUUGUCGGAAGGAAAUAUAAACUGCUUUGGAAGAUCUGGUGUAGCUCCUUCGGAGACAUCUGUCUGGCGAUCAGCAUCACCAACGGUGAAGAAGUGGUAGUGAAGCCAGAAUCUCAGGGCCAGGCAUCCCCAGUUGCUGUACAAGAGCAGGCUUUACAAGAUGCUUCAAGGACCCUGAUCCAUCAAUAUGACUACACAUUUGAUUGGACAAAGUUAAAGCAGAAAGCAGCACAGCAGGCAGCCUCUUCUAGUGGGAGGGGCAGCAGGCCCAAACCCCAACAGG